rnacentral:misc_RNA from 1 species
ACAAAGAAAGGGACUUCGUUCGUUCUUUGUAGUUUAAUUCGUUCGGUCGUUCUUGUAGUUUGGUUCGUUCGUUCGUUUUUUAAAAAUGUGUCCCCACAUUUUGUGAACUGUAAAGUCUCUGGCGGCUGGGUGUAACUAACCUUAGGGCCAUGUUGCAUCUGUCAACUUGAGAAAUCAGGUCGUGGACAAACCGCCAACCAUCUGUUUUGACUUGAUGUAUUUAUAUUUUUUAUCUAACAUUUACUUGUAUAAAUUAUACAAA